ACGCUCGACACCUACGGGAGGCAGCAGUCGGGAAUAUUGCGCAAUGGGAGGAAACUCUGACGCAGUGACGCCGCGUGCAGGAAGAAGGUUUUCGGAUUGUAAACUGCUUUAGACAGGGAAGAAGAAGUGACAGUACCUGUAGAAUAAGCUCCGGCUAACUACGUGCCUGCAGCCGCGGUAAUCUGAGCGGGCUGGCAAGGC
rnacentral:rRNA from 1 species